rnacentral:lncRNA from 1 species
AAGGACGCUUGGUUGCCCUUUUCUGGGGCCUUGGGCGUAGAUGCUCACGCAACCACGCCUGGUUGCCUUUUUCUUGGGUCCUCAACGCUAGUAGUCACACUUGAAGCUUGCUUACCCCCUUCAGGGUCCCUCAAGAGAGAUGUUCAUGCACCAGCGCCUGCUUGCCCUCUAAGGGGUGUUGAGCGCCAAUAUUGUCGAAGUGGCGCUUGCUUGCCCUAAGUAGGGGCGCUGAACGUUGGCGUAUCGGGC